rnacentral:rRNA from 1 species
AUUGAACGCUGGCGGCAUGCUUUACACAUGCAAGUCGAACGGUAAGGCCCUUCGGGGUACACGAGUGGCGAACGGGUGAGUAACACGUGGGUGAUCUGCCCUGCACUUCGGGAUAAGCCUGGGAAACUGGGUCUAAUACCGGAUAGGACUCCGGACUGCAUGGUCUGGGGUGGAAAGCUUUUGCGGUGUGGGAUGGGCCCGCGGCCUAUCAGCUUGUUGGUGGGGUGAUGGCCUACCAAGGCGACGACGGGUAGCCGGCCUGAGAGGGUGACCGGCCACACUGGGACUGAGAUACGGCCCAGACUCCUACGGGAGGCAGCAGUGGGGAAUAUUGCUCAAUGGGCGUAAGCCUGAUGCAGCGACGCCGCGCGAGGGAUGACGGCCUUCGGGUUGUAAACCUCUUUCAGCAUCGACGAAGCGAAAGUGACGGUAGGUGCAGAAGAAGGACCGGCCAACUACGUGCCAGCCGCCGCGGUAA